GGGCCUCGGCUGUUGUCUGCUCUAUGGCCGGGUUGUUGUCGCUUUGACACAUUCCCCAUUUCCUUUCUCAAUUUUAUUUAAAAUUCAUUAAACUUAGUACAGGAGGGAUGAAAGAUACCAGAGAGACUAAUAUAUCAAAAAUAAACUGACAACGCCAUGACGUAGAAGUUAAAAGACAAACAGACACACAUUAGUACACUAAAUAAUACACAGAACACUAAAGAUAACCAAAGUGAACCCUAUAAACUUAAGGUAGUAAAAGUUAUCUUAUUAAUGUAAUAAUACGAUUUUUGAAUAUUGUGUACAUAGGAACAAAUAUCGGUUUGUCAUCAACAAAUUGAAUUAUUGUCGAAUGAUUUUUCGGAAGUACAAAAAAAAACAAACAAACACA
rnacentral:lncRNA from 1 species